rnacentral:rRNA from 1 species
UACGGAGGGAGCUAGCGUUGUUCGGAAUUACUGGGCGUAAAAGCGCGCGUAGGCGGCUUUGUAAGUUAGAGGUGAAAGCCCGGGGCUCAACCCCGGAACUGCCUUUAAGACUGCAUCGCUUGAAUCCGGGAGAGGUGAGUGGAAUUCCGAGUGUAGAGGUGAAAUUCGUAGAUAUUCGGAAGAACACCAGUGGCGAAGGCGGCUCAC